rnacentral:rRNA from 1 species
UACGGAGGGGGCUAGCGUUGUUCGGAAUUACUGGGCGUAAAGCGCACGUAGGCGGGCUGUUAAGUCGGGGGUGAAAUCCCGGGGCUCAACCCCGGAAUGGCCUUCGAUACUGGCAGUCUUGAGGUCUGGAGAGGUGAGUGGAAUUCCGAGUGUAGAGGUGAAAUUCGUAGAUAUUCGGAGGAACACCAGUGGCGAAGGCGGCUCACUGGCCAGAUACUGACGCUGAGGUGCGAAAGCGUGGGGAGCAAAC